UUUAACAAGGCCUCUGUAGCUGCCCUGUAACACUUAUAUUAGUUUCAAGACUUGUUUGCAACUUGAAACAGUUGAAGUCUGCAAGUGACUUGUUCCUGAGUGGGUGGGGUAGCUUAGUUGUGGUAUGCAAUAUGGAAAAGUGUAAGCUGUGAGACAGUGAUUAACCAGCUUUAAGAACCUAGGAUGUACUUCUUAGCAAAGUAUGGAUCAAAGGACUCAUAAGACAGGACUUCAGCAGCCUAUUGAGUAUGGACAAGUCAGCAUAAUUAAAGAAUGACAAGGCAGCAGCAGCAACUGCAGCUUCAACUUCCAGAGAAGUGAAGGCAUAAGAUACUGUGCUGAUAGUGAGCAGCUUUCCAAAGGCUAGUUAAAUCUGCUGAAAUAUCGAAGAAAGUCUAGCAAGAGUUCUUCACCUUUUGGAACCUCCUUGAGUGAUAGCCACUUGAGUUGACACAAAAUCAAUAGGUCUAGCAUUUAGACCUGAAAGGAAGGGCAAUGAGAUAGGUUGAAUGAGAAGCUGCAACUUGACAAAAUGAGAAAUGUCUUGCAUAUCUCUUCAGUUCAAAGGUUUCUGACUAGUUUCAUCAGACAAGGAGAUGAACGAUUUACUUUAAAGAAAAGUUGGACAGAUGGUAUAGCAGAAUAUCUGAAUUUCCAGGUUGACUCCUGUACUGCUAAGAUAACUUUUUCCUGAACUCAGUGGUGCAAGUCUAUCCAUCAUAGAAGAAAAGUGACCCUUCCAUAGAGGAUAAUGUCACAAGAUUUGAAAACAGAAAUUAAACCUAUAAUUAAGAUGUCAGAUAAAGCCUUAAAGGAUAAUGUAGUGAAACUGUACAGCUUGCAUUCAAACAAGUUUUAGAAAAGAACAUCCAUAAAUGUUAACUAUGUGUAUCAAAGUAUUGUCGAUAAU
rnacentral:lncRNA from 1 species